rnacentral:rRNA from 1 species
GUACGGGGGGGGCAAGCGUUGUUCGGAAUUACUGGGCGUAAAGGGCUCGUAGGCGGCCAACUAAGUCAGACGUGAAAUCCCUCGGGCUUAACCGGGGACUGCGUCUGAUACUGGAUGGCUUGAGUGGUGGGAGAGGGAUGCGGAAUUCCAGGUGUAGCGGCGAAAUGCGUAGAUAUCUGGAGGAACACCGGUGGCGAAGGCGGCAUCCUGGACCAUUACUGACGCUGAGGAGCGAAAGCCAGGGGAGCAAACGGGG